AAUCACAACAGGAUGUUUUGUAUUGGCGGAGAGUUUACCACUUUUUAUAUGAAGUAAGAUAAAAUAAAAUUACUUGUAUAACCGAAAUAAACGCGCAAUAUUGUGUGCUAGUUCUACCGGUUAAAAUGGUGUGGGUUAGUUUUUUAAGAUAAAACAGCUUCUGCAACUAAGUAUGGCAUGUACGUUUAUUGCGGGAUGUUUCACGAUGAUCCACCAACUUCCUGAUUGCUCAGCGGUGUCAUGCAUUGCAACAGUUUGCAAUGGUUUUUACACUCCGCCAGGAGAGUGUUGUCCUAUAUGUCCAAUUUCCAGAUGUGAAGUCAAAGGUGUCAACUACGAGGAAGGUGUCAUUGUGCCAUCAAAGACCGCUAACCCGUGCGAAUCUUGCAUCUGUCGCAACGGGUCCGUACAGUGUACGAUAAUGAUAUGCCUUGUCUGUAAAGGCAUCACACCUCCUGGUCAGUGUUGCCCAAUAUGCAGAGGAAGACCUGAUUAAGUGCCAAAACAUUGAUUGUUGUAUCUGAUAGAAGUGGGUUUUUUGUUCCUAAAAUUCAAUAAAAUAAAUGAAUUAUCUGUUCAUGGUA